rnacentral:rRNA from 1 species
GACGAACGCUGGCGGCGUGCUUAACACAUGCAAGUCGAACGGAAAGGCCCUGCUUUUGUGGGGUGCUCGAGUGGCGAACGGGUGAGUAACACGUGAGUAACCUGCCCUUGACUUUGGGAUAACUUCAGGAAACUGGGGCUAAUACCGGAUAGGAGCUCCUGCUGCAUGGUGGGGGUUGGAAAGUUUCGGCGGUUGGGGAUGGACUCGCGGCUUAUCAGCUUGUUGGUGGGGUAGUGGCUUACCAAGGCUUUGACGGGUAGCCGGCCUGAGAGGGUGACCGGCCACAAUGGGGCUGAGAUACGGCCCAGAAUCCUAAGGGAGGCAGCAGUGGGGAAUAUUGCAAAAUGGGCGGAAGCCUGAUGCAGCAACGCCGCGUGCGGGAUGACGGCCUUCGGGUUGUAAACCGCUUUCGCCUGUGACGAAGCGUGAGUGACGGUAAUGGGUAAAGAAGCACCGGCUAACUACGUG